UGGGGAAUUUUGGACAAUGGGGGAAACCCUGAUCCAGCCAUCCCGCGUGUGCGAUGAAGGCCUUCGGGUUGUAAAGCACUUUUGGCAGGAAAGAAACGUCAUGGGUUAAUACCCCGUGAAACUGACGGUACCUGCAGAAUAAGCACCGGCUAACUACGUGCCAGCAGCCGCGGUAAUACGUAGGGUGCAAGCGUUAAUCGGAAUUACUGGGCGUAAAGCGUGCGCAGGCGGUUCGGAAAGAAAGAUGUGAAAUCCCAGAGCUCAACUUUGGAACUGCAUUUUUAACUACCGGGCUAGAGUGUGUCAGAGGGAGGUGGAAUUCCGCGUGUAGCAGUGAAAUGCGUAGAUAUGCGGAGGAACACUGAUGGCGAAGGCAGCCUCCUGGGAUAACACUGACGCUCAUGCACGAAAGCGUGGGGAGCAAACAGG
rnacentral:rRNA from 1 species